rnacentral:rRNA from 1 species
GAUGAACGCUGACAGAAUGCUUAACACAUGCAAGUCGAUUCGAUUUACCUUCGGGUAUUGAGGAUGGCGGACGGGUGAGUAACGCGUAAGGAACUUGCCUCUUGGUCUGGGACAACUGUUGGAAACGACAGCUAAUACCGGAUAUUAUGAGAUUCUCGCAUGGGAAACUUAUGAAAGCUAUAUGCGCCAAGAGAGAGCCUUGCGUUCCAUUAGCUAGUUGGUGGGGUAACGGCCCACCAAGGCGACGAUGGAUAGCCGGCCUGAGAGGGUGAACGGCCACAAGGGGACUGAGACACGGCCCUUACUCCUACGGGAGGCAGCAGUGGGGAAUAUUGGACAAUGGGCCACAAGCCUGAUCCAGCAAUUCUGUGUGCACGAUGAAGGUCUUCGGAUUGUAAAGUGCUUUCAGUUGGGAAGAAGAAAGUGACGGUACCAACAGAAGAAGCGACGGCUAAAUACGUGCCAGCAGCCGCGGUAAUACGUAUGUCGCAAGCGUUAUCCGGAUUUAUUGGGCGUAAAGCGCGUCUAGGCGGAAAAAUAAGUCUGAUGUUAAAAUGCGGGGCUCAACUCCGUAUUGCGUUGGAAACUGUUUUUCUAGAGUACUGGAGAGGUGGGCGGAACUACAAGUGUAGAGGUGAAAUUCGUAGAUAUUUGUAGGAAUNNCGAUGGAGAAGUCAGCUCACUGGANANAUACUGANGCUAANGCGCGAAAGCNUGGGGAGNAAACANGAUUAGAUACCCUGNUAGUCCACGCCGUAAACGAUGAUCACUAGGUGUUGGGGGUCGAACCUCAGCNCCCAAGCUAACGC